GGCGAGUGAAGCGGCAACAGCUCAAAUUUGAAAUCCGGCCUCGGCCCGAGUUGUAAUUUGCAGAGGAUGCUUCGGGCGACGCGGCCUUCCGAGUCCCCUGGAACGGGGCGCCGGAGAGGGUGAGAGCCCCGUACGGUCGGCUGCCGAGCUCGCGUGAAGCUCCUUCGAAGAGUCGAGUAGCUUGGGAAUGCUGCUCUAAGCGGGAGGUAAAUUCCUUCUAAAGCUAAAUAUCGGCCAGAGCCCGAUAGCGCACAAGUAGAGUGAUCGAAAGAUGAAAAGCACUUUGGAAAGAGGGUUAAACAGUACGUGAAAUUGCUGAAAGGGAAGCGCCUGCGACCAGACUCGGGCCCGGCGGAUCAUCCGAGCGUUUCUCGCCGGUGCACUCCGCCGCGGCCCGGGCCAGCAUCGGUUCCGGUGGGGGGAGAAAAGCCGGGGGAACGUAGCUCCUCCUCGAGGAGUGUUAUAGCCCCCGGCCCAAUGCCCCCGCGGGGACCGAGGACCGCGCCCCACCCCCCCUCCGGGGGGAGGCAAGGAUGCCGGCGUAAUGGUCGUCGGCGACCCGUCUUGAAACACGGACCAAGGAGUCGAACGUUCGUGCGAGUGUUCGGGUGGAAAACCCCUACGCGUAGUGAAAGCGGACGGAGGUGGGAGCCUCGGCGCACCAUCGACCGAUCCUGAGGCUAGACCGAUGGAUUUGAGUAGGAGCAUGACCGUUCGGACCCGAAAGAUGGUGAACUAUGCCUGCGUAGGGUGAAGCCAGAGGAAACUCUGGUGGAGGCUCGCAGCGGUUCUGACGUGCAAAUCGAUCGUCAAACGUGGGCAUGGGGGCGAAAGACUAAUCGAACCAUCUAGUAGCUGGU
rnacentral:rRNA from 2 species